GCUUACCAUGCAGUCGAGCGCCCCGCAGGGGAGCGGCAUACGGGUGAGUAACGCGUGGGAAUCUACAAUCUCUACGGAAUAACCCAGGGAAACUUGGACUAAUACCGUAUACGCCCCUCGGGGGAAAGAUUUAUCGGAGAUGGAUGAGCCCGCGUUGGAUUAGCUAGUUGGUGGGGUAAAGGCCUACCAAGGCGACGAUCCAUAGCUGGUCUGAGAGGAUGAUCAGCCACACUGGGACUGAGACACGGCCCAGACUCCUACGGGAGGCAGCAGUGGGGAAUAUUGGACAAUGGGCGAAAGCCUGAUCCAGCCAUGCCGCGUGAGUGAUGAAGGCCCUAGGGUUGUAAAGCUCUUUCAACGGUGAAGAUAAUGACGGUAACCGUAGAAGAAGCCCCGGCUAACUUCGUGCCAGCAGCGGCGGUAAU
rnacentral:rRNA from 1 species